rnacentral:lncRNA from 1 species
CUCCAUGUAAACAAUCUUUUAUAGACAGUCAUGAACCAUUCGGUGUCAGUCCGUGUUGUACGUGCAUUGAACUCGUUUUACACAAUAUGCAAUUCAAUGACGAAUGCAUGACAAUACCAUUAACGAUAACUUGGAUAAAAUGGAGAGUAUCCAACAUCUAUAGCAAUCAAAACAACAGAUCGUCGUCAUGGAUGGUUAGCUGUGGUAGCUAACGCUAACUCAGCUAGUUAGCCUGCUACAGACAGAGCUACCGCCUGUUAUUAUGGUACCGUCCCCGGGGUUGGUAGAUGGAUCAGAAAAUCACAAUUAACACAAACACUAUAGCAGAAUCUGUAAGUGGAUACAGACGGGUAAAUGCAGAAGCUACAAACAGCAGCGGAGGUAGAAAUGCUCAUAAUCCAUUUUGAACAAUAAUCGCUUUGAGGGAAAUGUGAUGAAGCUUACCUCUGGUCAGAUCCAGCGGUACAUUUUCUUCCCCGCUGUCAUUCCGACCUGUCAAUCACACAAGCUUCAGGCACCAGCACAGAAGAAACUACUGACACUAAGAGCAAGACUCCGGAUAGGACGGCCGCGGAAGCUGGCCGCCAUGUUUCCAGGAACAUACACAACACCGGAAACUUCGAAGCUUCUCGCGUGAAUAUGAGCAGACGAUUGAUGACAGAACUUCAUUUCCCAUCAUCCAUUCAUGGUCAAGAUUUUGUGUCUCCCCUAUGUGCAGCAUGGAUGUACAUCAUUAUGGUGUACAGGGUUACAUUAUGCACAAUAUCAAGUGGUGUUUUUGUUUCCUUUUUUUCGCCUUUAAAGUUUCAUAAUGCACCUUUAAGUAGCUAAAAAAAAAGUCCCUCUAUCUUAAGUAAAAACUUAAUCCACACUAGUAUUUGUUUAAUAUUUUUGUCACCAGUGAUGCCAGUAACGAAUUACUGUAAUCUGAUUACUUUUUUCAGUAACUAGUAAUCUAACGUGUUACUAUUUCCAAACAAGUAAUUAGAUUUAAGUUACUUUUCCAAAUCACUGUGAGUUACUAUUUUGUCAUUUUCCUACAUUUACUUUUGCAUCUCGGCGAGUGCCGUAUCAUAAUGUGACAAGUCACGUUUUCAUCCUAAAGAGAGAUGAAAAAACAUAACUUUUCUGAGUCUGCGUCAGCUUUAUGCACUUCCAAUAAAGUGAGUGUUGGUAAAAGGGUUUGUCAUUAGUGUGUUGUGACGGUGGAGAUGUUGUCAGCCACCGCUGAAUGUACGUAACUAAUAAAGUAACUUGUAAUCUAACUUAGUUACUUUUAAAAUCAAGUAAUCAGUAAAGUAACUAAGUUGUUUUUUAAAGGAGUAAUCAGUAAUUCAUUACUUUUUCCAAGUAAUCUGUGGCAACAGUUUGUCACAGAGUUGAACCAGGUGCAACACAGGCC